GGUGCGGAGGGAAGCUUUUCGUUCUAGAGGGAAGGGAGGAGCUGAGGAGGGAGAGGAAAAGAGUAAGGCCUCGUUCGUUUCCUCCGGAAUGGCCCGGAACGAGGCCCAGUCCGGACGAAUUGGAAUGGCCCGGAAUGAAGUCAGACCUAGCCCGGAAUUGCUGUUCGGUUGGCCUGGUCUAGAACCAAACCUGAGCCGGAUCAGCCUCCUCCCCCCCUCCACGGUCCGGAACUAAUCCACACCUCCUCCCUCCUGGAACGAAGCCAAGCGAGGCGACGGCUCCGACGUGAAGACCUGGAGGCGGCGACGCGCGAGGCGACAAGGCCGCGACGCGAGGUGACAGCAACGGCGACGGCUACGCUCUCCGCCGCCUUCUCGCUGCUUCCAUACGAAGACAGGCUACACGUCAAUUUGCUGAAAGGGAAAACAACAAAAAGAGCAUAUGUUGAACUGCAGAUUUGUUUAGGGUGAUGGAAUCUUUUUCAGUGCUUGCUGGAUUUGAACUACUCCUUGGGACAUUGUUGGAGAAUUCCUUUUUGGAAUACAAAUAAGCUAGGCCCAAUAUCUCUGCCUGCAGGAUCUGAGGCCUACUAUUGCUGCUAAUACUCAUCCUAUGCUUGCAGAUCUGCUUCAGCGAUGCUGGCAGAAAGAUCCGGCUCUAAGACCACCCUUCGCAGCGAUUGUGAAUAUACUGAAUUCCAUAAAAGAGGUGGUUCGGAGUUCUAGGCAUCACAAGAGACAUUCAUGUUGAUCUUACUCUGGGAGGAGACGAGGCCGUUGAUGCGGCAGUUCUGUUUAGUGUUCCACGCCUUUGCUUUGUCGUCCUUUCUCAUUUUUCAUCUUUGAUAGCGGUGACUUUUAGGCCUUACUUUUUCCCAAAAGUUUUAUCUUUGGUCGUAGUUCAGCGAUAGCUUCAGAAUAUGACCAUAUGAGUUUCAUGUGUUCAUUUUAAGA